rnacentral:rRNA from 1 species
CCUACGGGUGGCAGCAGUGAGGAAUAUUGGUCAAUGGACGAGAGUCUGAACCAGCCAAGUAGCGUGAAGGAUGACUGCCCUCUGGGUUGUAAGCUUCUUUUAUAAAGGAAUAAAACGAGGCACGUGUGCCUUUUUGCAUGUACUUUAUGAAUAAGGAACGGCUAACUCCGUGCCGGCAGCCGCGGUAAUACGGAGGAUCCGAGCGUUAUCCGGAUUUAUUGGGUGUAAAGGGAGCGUAGAUGGGUUGUUAAGUCAGUUGUGAAAGUUUGCGGCUCAACCGUAACACUGCAAUUGAUACUGGCAGUCUUGAGUACAGGAGAGGUAGGCGGAAUUCGUGGUGUAGCGGUGAAAUGCUUAGAUAUCACGAGGAACCCCGAUGGCGAAGGCAGCUUACUAAACUGUGACUGACAUUGAGGCUCGAAAGUGUGGGUAGCAAACAGGAUUAGAUACCCGGGUAGUC